GCCUGUACUUAAAAUUCCUCACUUCUGAAAGCUAGUGUGUCACAUUAUGCUUCAGAUCCAGACCCAAUCCUUUUGUUUCUGCUUCUUUUCCUUCUUCUGCCAUUUCUUCGACUCCCUCUCUCCCUCUUUGUAAUACUCUGCUUAAGUGUUAUAAGUCAGUAAAUCUCAACAAGGCUGCUCUAAUCCGCUAAGAGUGUAAUGGAGGGUGUCUGGGAUUUGGAGAUGUAUUUUCUGUCUGUGUCUGUUUAGAAGAUCAUCACAACGCUGCUUUUGAUCGUCCUUUUUCCUUUUUUCCUGUCCUUCACAGCUUCUUGGGAAUAGUUUUCUGUCCAUCAGUUGCUGUCUACGACCAGACAUGUCCAGGAAACAGAAGUGGCAGGAAAACCUGCUUGUCCGCCCAAAUGCUGCUAAAUCAAAUCAGAAGAAGAGGAGGAAAGACCCCACACACCCUGCGCUUGGCCUACCUAAGCAGACAGCAACUGAAAGAGGCCAAAUGUCUAAUGGCAGCACCAGUAGUAUCAGUGAUAGCAAUAAUAGCCUGAACACUAAUAGCAGCAGUGCUAGUUGCAGUAGCAUGAAUGCUAGUAGCAGGGGUGGUAGUAUCAAUAGCAAUACUAAGAGGAGUAGCAACAACUGCAUAGCUUGCAGCACAGAAACUACAAGUGAUGUUAGUAGUGUUAUUAAUAAUGGUAGCAACAGCAAUAGAGGCGCCAGUGUUGUCCACAGUGCUAGCACUUCAAGCAACAGUAAAGGAAGCAGUAGCAUGAGUGGUGGAGGUAGAAGCACUAGUGCUAGUGUUAAAGGCAGCAGCAUUAGUAACAAAAGAAUGGAAACUGUGAUGGGUGCUAUGGAGGAUAGCUCUCCACUGCCCUCCUCUGUAGGGAGGGGGCUUCAGGAAGUGGAGGCAGAGCUCAGUGGAAGAAGAAGGGACAGCAACACCAGCUCCCCCUGCAACUCCUCAGUCAGCUCCUGUCUCUCCUCACCGCUCAGCCAGCUACCCGACAGCUCUAACACAAAUGAUGCUAAGAGUCGGCAAGGUAUAGAGAGCGGUUAUUCCUCUCUGGAGAAGACGAGAUCCGACACUGAGGACAAACAGAUGGGUUGUGACCCACAUGACAGGUGUGAAGCUUCUGGGUCCUCAAACUCCCCCAAACCCUGCAUAUUGGGCUUCACCUCUCCAUGAACCUCCCCACUCAUUCUCUCACCCGGUUACAGUUCUCUGGGACCUGCUAGGGGUGGGUUUGAAGGUGUGGCAAAGUCUUUUGGCAGGGACAGAUAGGUGAUGCAGCACAGUAAAGUAGCAGGCACACAUGUCAGGAAGACACAUGCUCAGGUUUGGAAGACAUGAAACACACAGAACACUCAGCCCUGGAAGAGAGGAAGUCCAUCGUCUGUUUGGAAAACAGCGCAGGUAAGAGAAACAGGCACUGUUCAAGCACUACAGUAUCCACAUCAGCAUAAAAUACAAUUCCAGCCUGUUUUGGAAGAGUUCCCUUAAUUGAACCAUGCAUUUUACUUUCUUUAAUAGUUUUAUUCUGGCACUUUAUUGUGCUGUAUUCUUUGGAUACGAAAAAGCUACAGUUGUGCUGUCUCUGUGAUCUUUUUAUGGAGAGGUGUGAAUUGUUUACAGAGAAGGGGGUUCUCACCCCUCUCAUUUCACACCUAACUGCUUGCUAGCAGCUCAACAUAAAGUCACAACAUUUCAAACACACAGAGAACCAACAGAGUUAAUCUGGCAACAGAGUUAUGGUAAAGCAAUUUGGUUACAACACUGUGCACUAGAAGAAUGGGGAAAAUAGUAUUAAUGAAUAACAAUAUAUUAAAUAAUAUUAUAUUUAAUCACCCCCACCUACCGUCAACUAGCUCAGAAAUACACCAUUGUAAAGAGGGCAAAAUGUAUGAACAUGUAUAAUUUCCAGUUCACAGUGACUUUACAUACACAUUAAACACAGAAUAAUCCUUGUACAUUUCAUAUUUGUAACUUCAAUAGUUAAAAAAAUAGAACUUUCAGACUUUCAGCCUUGUCCACUUCAUUUUAUAAUUUUUCUCAAAUUUAUUCCAUGGUCACCUAAAAUUAAGCAAACCCAAAUAUCAGUUUGUAAUGUUGAUUUUGUGGGUAUUUACUGUCUGAGCAGAUUACUAUAUUCAGGCAAUCCUUAUAGUGUAUUUCGUAGUGUUGUAUGUUUCUUAUUUUGUUGUUUUUUGUUUGUUUGUUUGUUUUUCAGGACAUCCUAACAGCUCUGUUCCCAUCAUUCAGCCCUACAAGCUUCCCAUCAGCCACAUUUUCUUGACCCAUUACACUCUCUGACUGUCACAUAUUUCCAUAUUAUGCUACAUGUGCAUUAGCUUAACUGUAAAAGUGUUGUUAAACAAUUUCUGUUGUAUUUUUUAGAAGAUCUCAGGUGAUUGAGCAGUUUGAGAAGGAAAAUGGUGUGCAUUCUCAUGCCGAGGUAUUUUCCUGUUCUUCUUCACCAUCCUCUAUCUCCUCUACUUCUGAACAUAACCAUGACAGAAGAGCUAGUCGCAGUGCUGCACAGGUAUACAAAACUACAAUAAACAUCAACUGAUGUGGUCCUGGUCCUUGUUCCUGAUGUAGCUGUUGCUC
ensembl:lncRNA